GCGCCUGUAGCUCAAGCGGAUAGAGCGACGGAUUGCGGAUCCGUAGGUUGGGGGUUCGAGUCCCCCCAAGCGCACCA
rnacentral:tRNA from 1 species